CUUUUUCAGUUUUUCUGUUGCCAGUCAUACUUUUUAACAAUACAAAUAGAUUUUCUAGAGGGAUAUAUAUGUUUCUGUAUAGCUUGGCACUGAUAUUAACAGAAAUUCAUGAAAAGAGAGUUGUGCUAAGCAGUGCCCUAUUUAUUACCUUAGAGGCCCUAAGAGCAAAAGACACACCAAUAAAAAUACGUAUAUUUGGUCACUAUUUCUGAAGAAAACAUCUCGAAGAAAUAAGUUGGAGGAAGUAUAUUUUUUGAAAUCAUAGAUACAGAAAUUACUGUUGAAAAUGUAUGAAACUUCUAGAUAAUUGAAACCUUACACAGAAAGGAGAACGAAGGAACCAGUGCAAACAUUUAAAAAUGCUUUCGCACUGGUAGAGAAAUGGGAAAGGAUGUGUGGCGUGUCUUAUCCAUUUGUUUGUUGGACUUUUUUUUGGUAAAGUAGUUGUAGAGAGUGAUGAAAAAAAUACAACAUUUUAGUUUCUGAUAUUUCAUCCCCUUCUUCACGUGUCCCUAUUUUGCUUCAUCUCUGUUAAUUAUUUCCUCUGAAAUUCCACUGUUUGUUUCACUCUUGGGCAAUAUUUUUGAACAUUAACUAAUGAAUUUAAAAGUUUCUGUCUUGGCACACCGAAUUGAAGAUUUCUGUCUUGUGGCUGAUAACAACAUGAUGACUACUUUCUACUCUUGUUUCUUUCCAACCUAUAAUCAGUAUGUAUGUGCAGGUGAAAAACACAGAAACUGCAAACUAUGUCCCUGUGAAACUAAAUUUGCAGAAGAAGCAAGCAUGUCUGAGUUUUAAACACUUAUGCCAACACAUCCAGAUUUGGAAGAAAGUCUCAAGAACCACUUUUAGGGAACUUUUUAGGGCUUCUAAGGGACAUAUACAUUAUUCAGACCCCGAUUCAUCCCACUGAACUGAGGCAUUCCAAGAGAGGAGAUGAAUCACCUGAGGUUGGUGACAAAACUGGUUGGUUACUGCCAGACAGAACUAUGGUGGGUGAACUGCUUUCUGCAGGUACUCUCCCGAAUGACUGUAAAGUGUUAGGCAGGUUGGUUACAUGCCUUAAACUAAUCCCGACUCUUAAAAAACAGCUCAGUUUUUGUUUUAAAAACUCAUGUUCAUUUUCUGCAAAGACUAAGGACAGCUGUCAACAAGACAAAGGUAAAUAAAGUAAACAAAGUGUUUUAAUUCUUCA
rnacentral:lncRNA from 1 species